rnacentral:rRNA from 1 species
CAGUAACGGCGAGUGAAGCGGCAACAGCUCAAAUUUGAAAUCUGGCUCCUUCGGGGUCCGAAUUGUAAUUUGUAGAGAGUGCUUCGGGUGAGACCUCGGUCUAAGUCCAUUGGAACAUGGUGUCAUAGAGGGUGAGAAUCCCGUAUGCGACCGUGGCUCGAGCCCAUGUGAAGCCUCUUCGACGAGUCGAGUUGUUUGGGAAUGCAGCUCAAAAUGGGUGGUAAAUUUCAUCUAAAGCUAAAUACUGGCUGGAGACCGAUAGCGCACAAGUAGAGUGAUCGAAAGAUGAAAAGCACUUUGGAAAGAGAGUCAAACAGUACGUGAAAUUGUUGAAAGGGAAGCGCUUGCAACCAGACCUGCCCGUAGGCGAUCAGCCGCUGUUCUCAGCGGUGUACUCGCUCUGCGAUCAGGCCAGCAUCGGUUUCGGCGGUCGGAUAAAGACCUUGGGAAUGUAGCUUCCCUUCGGGGAAGUCUUAUAGCCCUCGGUGUAAUGCGGCCAGCCGGGACCGAGGACCGCGCUUCGGCUAGGAUGCUGGCGUAAUGGUUGUAAGCGACCCGUCUUGAAACACGGACCAAGGAGUCUAACAUCUAUGCGAGUGUUUGGGUGUCAAACCCAUACGCGGAAUGAAAGUGAACGGAGGUGAGAACCCUUAAGGGCGCAUCAUCGACCGAUCCAGAUGUCUUCGGAUGGAUUUGAGUAUGAGCAUAGCUGUUGGGACCCGAAAGAUGGUGAACUAUGCCUGAAUAGGGUGAAGCCAGAGGAAACUCUGGUGGAGGCUCGCAGCGGUUCUGACGUGCAAAUCGAUCGUCAAAUUUGGGUAUAGGGGCGAAAGACUAAUC